rnacentral:rRNA from 1 species
UACGUAGGGGGCAAGCGUUGUCCGGAUUCAUUGGGCGUAAAGAGCGUGUAGGCGGCCAGGUAGGUCGGUUGUGAAAACUGGAGGCUCAACCUUCAGAGGUCGACCGAAACCAUCUGGCUAGAGUCCGGGAGAGGAGAGUGGAAUUACCUGGGUGUAGCGGUGAAAUGCGCAGAUAUCAGGAGGAACACCGAUGGCGAAGGCAGUUCUCUGGGCCGUAACUGACGCUGGAGGAGCGAAAGCGUGGGGAGCGAACAGG